CAGCCGCCGCGGGAAUACGAAGGGGGCUAGCGUUGUUCGGAAUUACUGGGCGUAAAGCGCACGUAGGCGGAUAUUUAAGUCAGGGGUGAAAUCCCGCAGCUCAACUGCGGAACUGCCUUUGAUACUGGGUAUCUUGAGUAUGGAAGAGGUUAGUGGAAUUGCGAGUGUAGAGGUGAAAUUCGUAGAUAUUCGCAGGAACACCAGUGGCGAAGGCGGCUAACUGGUCCAUAACUGACGCUGAGGUGCGAAAGCGUGGGGAGCAAACAGGAUUAGAUACCCCCGUAGUCCCUGUCUCUUAUAA
rnacentral:rRNA from 1 species